rnacentral:rRNA from 1 species
AAAGCCGAAUUAAUACCGCAUACGUCCUACGGGAGAAAGCGGGGGACCUUCGGGCCUCGCGCUCAUGGAGCGGCCGAUGUCGGAUUAGCUAGUUGGUGGGGUAAGAGCCUACCAAGGCGACGAUCCGUAGCUGGUCUGAGAGGAUGAUCAGCCACACUGGGACUGAGACACGGCCCAGACUCCUACGGGAGGCAGCAGUGGGGAAUUUUGGACAAUGGGGGCAACCCUGAUCCAGCCAUGCCGCGUGAGUGAAGAAGGCCUUCGGGUUGUAAAGCUCUUUCGGCCGGAACGAAAUCGCACGGGUGAAUAGCCCGUGUGGAUGACGGUACCGGAAGAAGAAGCACCGGCUAACUACGUGCCAGCAGCCGCGGUAAUACGUAGGGUGCGAGCGUUAAUCGGAAUUACUGGCCGUAAAGCGUGCGCAGGCGGUUUGUUAAGCCAGAUGUGAAAGCCCCGGGCUCAACCUGGGAACUGCGUUUGGUACUGGCAAGCUA